GAGAAGGAGGACACCGGAGCCGGAGCUGAUGCUGACGGAGGACUCCCAGCCUGCAAUGACAGACCUGUGGUCAGUGUUCAGACAUCUAUUUGUUGCUGUUUUAUUCUGAUGUUUCCCUCAGAGCCUUUUCAAUCAGCUACAGGCCAGAAGGAAUCAGAACCCCAUGGAAAAGGGCUAUGCCAGGACAUAAGUGGAAAUAUUGGUUUUGCAACUAAACUCACAUUUGAAAAUGAUGCUCAUUCAAUCAAAUAUGACUAAACACUUUUAAGUGUUCUGGAACUAAGGAACUAAGACUGCCUUUACAGAGUCAUCCUUACAAAGCCUUCUUUGGAAAAACUGGCUUACAGAGUUCCCAGCCUUGCAGGUGAGUAAGAAAAGCCACUUCCUGGGAGGCCCAUGAGUCUUAGGAUAUUUUAGGGACCUCAAGAAAUGAGGAAUUCUUAUAAAUAAAACAGGUGAAAUCUGAUAUAGAGUUAUUGGCAUAGCUUCCUAGCCUUAAGAUCACUAGUAACAAGAGGCUUUAAAAAAUCCAAUCUGAGAUUCCUAAAGAAAACGUGCAGCAGAGCAAACUUAAGAACUUUAAGGAACUUUUAACACUCUUGCUGUGCCCAGCUGAACAACGCCUGUAAUCUGGGGAAAGAAGACUAAACAUCUCAUACGUGCCUGACUUGAAGAGUAGCGUAGGGAG
rnacentral:lncRNA from 1 species